rnacentral:tRNA from 1 species
UCCAGGGUAGCCUAGUGGACAUGGCAUCUGCCCGGUAAGUGGAACAUUGUGGGUUCGAUUCCCAUUCCUGGAC